UACGAAGGGGGCUAGCGUUGUCCGGAAUUACUGGGCGUAAAGCGCACGUAGGCGGCUUUGCAAGUUAGAGGUGAAAGCCCGGGGCUCAACCCCGGAAUUGCCUUUAAAACUGCAUCGCUAGAAUUGUGGAGAGGUAAGUGGAAUUCCGAGUGUAGAGGUGAAAUUCGUAGAUAUUCGGAAGAACACCAGUGGCGAAGGCGACUUACUGGACACAUAUUGACGCUGAGGUGCGAAAGCGUGGGGAGCAAACAGG
rnacentral:rRNA from 1 species